GCCGCAGUAUUUUGACUGUGCAAAGGUAGCAUAAUCAUUAGUUUUUUAAUUGAAAGCUGGAAUGAAUGGUCGGAUGAGAAAGCUUCUGUCUCACUUUGGUUUUGUUUGAAUUUUAUUUUUAAGUAAAAAGGCUUAGAUAUGAUAGAAAGACGAGAAGACCCUAUAGAGUUUAAUAGGUGAAUAUUUUGAUUGCUAUAGGGUUUUAUUGUGAUUGUCUUAUUGCUUAUUUUGUUGGGGUGACACUUGAAUUGAAUAAACUUCUGUUUUUAUAUACAUUGAUUAAUGAGAGAAUGAUCCUGAGUUUUGGAUUAAAAGAAUAAAUUACCUUAGGGAUAACAGCGUAAUUCUUUUGGAGAGUUCUAAUCGAUAAAAGGGAUUGCGACCUCGAUGUUGGAUUAAAGAUAAAUUUUGGUGUAGAAGCUAAGAUUUUG
rnacentral:rRNA from 1 species